CUCUUUGGGCAAUCUGGGCGGCCCCCUUUCAGAGCCAAAGACCCCACCACCACCACCUGGUAAGGCGGGGCAAGUGGGCAGGGAAGGUGAACGUCCUGCACACACAGAGCAGCUCUCUGAGAUGGAUCCCAAGGUCACUAGCACACCUAGACCUCCGUCCCCCAAGAUGGCCCCAAACCUCAAACCAUCUGAGGUAAUGCGGGUGUUUGUGGGAGGAAGAAUUGGGGGCAGCGGGGACUUGGCUGGGGCAUAGAGAGAGGAGGCUCUGUGUUCCUCCAAUGCCCCCUCUAGACUUUGAAGUCCCCUGAGAGCAGCGGGGCCUGGGGGAACACCUGGAGCUCCCCAGCCUUGGACUCGGGAAGCAGCCUCAGCCUGAGCUCCCAGCCUGAAGAAGCGUCACCAGCAGACCAGAGGAAGAUGCCCAGUCCAGAGGUAGUGAGGGCCCCUCGGCCUCUGCUGACCUUCCCUCCUCCCAUCUCCUGACUGCCUGCUAACUGCCCUGUCACUGACCCAGCCCCUUCCUCCCGUCUCACCAGGCUGAGAGGAGCAGCCUCCCUGCUGGGCCAGGUCCAGGGCUCCCUGGAGGGACUGGAGCGAAGGUUCUCAGCCAGGAACCGGGCCCUGCAAGAUCCAUUAGGAGAUGUCCCAGAGGCAUCCGCAUCCCCAUACACCUGCCCUCAAAAUGUCGGUCCCUGAACUGGCUAAAGCUGGUCCCUACACCAGCCUGCAGCGGCUAGACCUGCUAGAAGAGAUCAUCACAGAGCUACAGGGUGAGGCUGGGGGGGGGAGGUAAAGGAGGACAAGGGAUGGGGUGGGGGUGGGACGAGAACAAGA
rnacentral:lncRNA from 1 species